UAAAGAGGGAACCAAAAUCUAUUAAGCCAUCAAUUGAGUUUUCAAAGAAAGUAUAAAACAGGUUUUAUACUACUACAAGGAAACCUAAAAAUAAUAGGAAACUUACAAUAAAUGGAAAUUACAUAUUAUGCUAAAAUAAAUAACUAAAUAUAAGUAAAUAACUAAAUAUAACAUACGUUUUCAAACUUCACUCAAAGACGGCCUAAAAAAACAUUGACACACAUUGUAUAAAUGAUCAUCACCCACCUGUAUAAAUAAGAAAAAUAAAUACGAAAUAAACAAGUAAUAUUAUCAGAGAUUCUUGUUGCUCGAAUCUCCAAAAGAAAAUUAGUGUAAUGCGAUGAUGAAAUCAAGGGACGAAGCAACUACUGAAUUUGACAAAGAAUAAAGAAUAAUGAUCAAGGAAAACGCUAAUUGCAUGAAAAAUAUAUAAGAUACCAAAAAAACAUCUAACUUGAAAGAAGGUUAAUUCUCGUUCUCAAAACUCAAAUUCAUAACUUCUAAAUUCACACUCGGAUUGCGUCCUAUUCACAUAAUGAUUGUGCUCACAUAUAACUGAAAAAAAUGACAAAUAAUCCCUCUAUGUUCACCAAAUAGGCUAAUUCGUAGGAAACAAUAUGCAGUUGAGGAUCAGUAUCUGAGCCUCACAUGUAAACUGCUCGAUUUCGAUGUUAAAUGCUUUUAACACCAUUGAGCAAUGGAUUCCCCGUGACGUCCGUCUAAAUUUUUUUCAUAAAUCAAUUUAAUUCUGCGGAAAAAAUAUAGGGCAUAAUUAACAUGAUUUCAGGUUAAUUACAGAAAAUUAUUAUCAAGACAUUCCAUUUAUCCCAAAACAUCCAACUCAGAUUCAGAGUGAUACAUAAUGUUUAAUCCCAAUUUAAAAAUAAAUAAAUAAAAAAAUUCAAAAACAAUAAAACUAUCUAUUUGUUCGGGAAAAACGAAAUAUAAUAGACAGUUUUUCACAUCCUGCAAACAAAAUCUUCAAAUUGAAGAAAAACACAGCGCGGGAAAACAAAAAAUGGAAAAAAUAAAAACUAUAACAGCAUAUCAUUGAGGAAAUAAUCGAAUUUCUGCACUUACCCAUUAGAAUUUGUGGGGAAAUAUGCCAUUUGAGAGGACGAUCGCUGUGACUGGCGAGAAAUUCAUAGCAGAGAGAG
rnacentral:lncRNA from 1 species